GAGCAGUCAAUGCCAAGGGAGCAUCUCUCAGUUAAUAGUCUCCAAGCCUUGUCCACAGGGAGAUUUCCCUGAAUACAUCUCUCGGCCUUAUCACUGCCUAGCCAUGUUCCCAGUGACCAUUCUGCUGCUCAGCGUGUUCUUCUCAUUGAGAGGAAACAGUGCCCAGUCCGUGGACCAGCCUGAUGCUCACAUCACCGUCUCUGAAGGAGCCUCACUAGAGCUCAGAUGCAGUUAUUCAUACAGUGCAACACCUUCCCUCUUCUGGUACGUCCAGUAUCCUGGCCAGAGCCUCCAGCUUCUCCUCAAAUACAUCACAGGAGACACCAUUGUCAAAAGCACCAACGGCUUUGAGGCUGAGUUUAGGAAGAGUAACUCUUCCUUCAACCUGAAGAAAUCGCCAGCCCAUUGGAGAGACUCAGCCAAGUACUACUGCGCGCUGAGAGGCACAGUGCAUGAGGCUGCAGGGGGAGCACGGCGCAAACCUCCUGAGAUUUUCUGUGCUCAAGGGCACACCGAUAAUGAUUCAUAGCAAGGUCGCUAGUCAUGAAAGUGAGCAAAGCAGAGGAGCAAGAACAUGGAGAACGUUUGGCUCCUAAAAAGAAACAGAAAUUUAGCAUAUUUCUCAUUUUACCAUGGCAUCAUGUCGGGAUUAAUUUAAGUGAGAUCCUCAGGUAGAGGAGGCACUACGCUUUAGAGACACCGAACUCAGGACUAUAGCAUACCAUGACCAAAUGCGAUCUCCCAAUUCUCCCCCAGCCACCCAAAUGCUCCCUAGAUGACAAACAGUGUUUCAGGAGCACUAACAAUGGCGUUUCUGGCUAUAACAUGAGUAGUUAAAGAUUUUGCACUCACCUCUCACACAUAAUUCAUUACGAAAUCAGUUUACUAGAGUAGUUUACUCCACUUUAGAAACUGAUCUCCCUCUAGCUACUGCUGCCUCCUUGUCUAAGCUGGGA